CAGUUUGAUCCUGGCUCAGGAUAAACGCUGGCGGCGUGCUUCAGGCAUGCAAGUCGAGCGAGCAACUUCGGUUGCGAGUGGCGGACGGGUGAGUAACACGUAAGCAACCUGCCCAGAAGUGGGGAAUAACUAGCCGAAAGGCUGGCUAAUACCGCAUACGAUGUCUCCUCUCUGGAGGGGUCAUCAAAGGCUUCGGCCGCUUUUGGAGGGGCUUGCGGCCGAUUAGCUAGUUGGUGGGGUAACGGCCUACCAAGGCGACGAUCGGUAGCUGGUCUGAGAGGACGGACAGCCACACGGGGACUGAGAUACGGCCCCGACUCCUACGGGAGGCAGCAGCUAGGAAUCUUGGGAAUGGGCGAAAGCCUGACCCAGCAACGCCGCGUGGGCGAUGAAGGCCUUCGGGUCGUAAAGCCCUUUUGCAGGGGAAGAUGAUGACGGUACCCUGCGAAUAAGCCACGGCUAACUACGUGCCAGCAGCCGCGGUAGUCGGGCCCAAUCGC
rnacentral:rRNA from 1 species